rnacentral:lncRNA from 1 species
GUCGACCCCACGCCACGCAGAGGUGAAGAUACGCAGGACGUCCUCUAAAGCAACUUCCGUGGGUGCCAGGUUGUGGGCUGGGGGCGGUGCUGACCUUGAGAGAGCGGAGGAGGCGCAGGCGCAGCACAGGUGGCAAUUGAAGCCGGAAGAACAUCUACCAAGAGCAGAGAACCCAGGAAGAAAAUUCUGCCUCUUUAAUACGUUCCAAUAUGGACGUUUUCCAUAUAGAUACCUAUCUAUAUAGAUAGAUGCUCUGGGAUCUGACGGUCCUGGACACCUGUAUGGCUGUGUGCUGUGGUCUUUGCCUAGCCUGCGGUUCACUUUUGCUCUGGCCACCACCUCCCCUCAUGUACAAACCGCGUCUCUGCUCUGCCAGUCUUGGCCCCCGUCAGGCAGCGGUUCACUCCCUCACCAGGGAAGUCUAGAUAGAUAGAUAUAGAUAGAUAUCGAUCGAUAGAUAUAGAUAUAUAUAUAGAUAGAUAGAUAGGUAGAUAUAUGGAUAGAUAUAGAUAUUUGGAUAGAUAUGUAGACGUCUAUCUAUAAAUAUAUCGAUAUAUCGGGGUUCUCAGCCAUCCCAAAGAAGCUUGCACAGGGCCAGUUGCUUUAUGUCAGGAAAAGGGACACAGACUGAGUGUAUGAGGGUUUUUUUUUUCUAUAGAUGUAUAGAUAUUUAUAUCAGAUGCAAAUAAGUGAAACUCUCAUACAACUUUUAAUUUUGUGUUUUUUCCAAACUCUAUUCCAUUCAACUUUUUCUGCCUUUUUAUUUGAUUAUAAUGAGACAUCGUACUGGAGGCAGGCUUGAAAUGGAUAUACAGAGCACUUUCAACCCAGAAAUUUGUCUCACGACUUGGGGUCCUUACUUAAGUUGUAGCUGUUAGUAAUUUCAUCCAUGAAUUCACUUUGUGCCAUAGUGUGAUGUUUUGUUAUGAAGUUGGAAUUGGGAAGGGAAACUAGGAAGUUUUGGGAGAAGUUAAGAAGGUUGAGUAGGCAGGCGUUGUUAUAGAUAUUAAAUUUCACCCUGCUUAUCAAAGUACCUGGAGCGUAUGGUAUCCAAGCUGUAAAUGGCCCAAAGGAAUCGGGGUUCUCAGCCAUCCAAAAGAAGCAUGCACAGGGCCAGUUAUUUUAUGUCAGGAAAGGGGACACAGACUGAGUGUAUGAGGGUUUUUUUUUUUGUUUUUUUUUUUUAGUUUAAACUUGAUUUUGUGAGGGGACGAACAGCGUGACAAUUAAAAGAAGAUCUGGGAAUCAAAAGCUUCCUGAGGCCUUCACCAGAAGCAGAUGCUGGUGCCGUGCUUCUACAGCCUGCAGAACUGAAGGACUUUACAGCUUCUCUUUCGCAUAUCCAAAUUGCCAGCAUCACCGCUCUUGCACUCCAAGCCAUUAUUAAGUAAAGUAAAGAACACAAACACUGUGAUACUGCUACACUUGAUCUGAUAACCAAGAAGUCUACUAAGUGACUAACAGUUAAUAUUUUUGGACAUGAGGUGACUGCAGUUAACUAAAACCAUGGAAAGCAAACCCAUAGAUAAAGGGAUACUAUGAGCAACUGGGAACCUAAUUCUGACCAAAAAGGAGGAAUUGUUUGGCUAAUUGGAAGUGACAGAAACCUUGGGAGAAAGCAACCGCAUACCAAGGAUAAUUAUAAGAAGAAGAGAAGACAUGGAGAAGAGGAGGGAGUAGUUGUGACCGUGGAGGCAGAGAAUGGAGUAAUGUGAUCAUAAAUCAAGGAAUGCUGACAGCCACUAAAGCUGGAGAAGGCCAAGGACAGAUAUUCAAUCCUCCCGUAGAAGUACAGCCCUGCUAAUGCAUUGAUUUUGGACUUCUGGCCUCAGAACUGUCUGGAAAGCAUGGAAAUUUGUAUCUUCAUUCACUUUUGUUUUCAUGGACUCUUUUCAUGUUUGAACUUUUCAUGGUAUGAGCUGUUUUAUAAUCUAUAAUAUGGAAUGUUUCUCAUACGAAUGUUUUUCUUAUUGAAGAAUGCCAUAGAAAUAAGGGUGUGAGGUAUACUUACUUGACAGGAGAAUUUUACUCCUUUUAUUUUAUUUACUUAUUUAUUUUUAAGACGGAGUCCUGCUGUGUUGUCCAGGCUGGUCUUGAACCCCUGGACUCAAACGAUCUUUCUCCUUGGCCUCCCAAAGUUCUGGGAUUACAGGUAUGAGCUACAGUGCCCUGAGAGUCCUUUUUAAAGUAGUGAAUGCUCAAACAUGGAAUUAAAUUUAGGCAAAGCUCACUUUUAUUUAUACAUAAAACAACUUCAGCCAUGUACCUCAUAACGAUAUUUUGGCCAAUGUCUGACCUUAUAUACAAUGGUUGUCCUGUACGAUUAUAAUGAAGCUGAAAAUUUUCUAUUGCCUAGUAACAUUGUAGUAAUUGUAAUGUAGCACAACCUAUCACACGUGUUUGUAGUGAUGCUGGUGUAAACAAACCGACUGCAUUGCCAGUCUAGUAUAAAAGUCUAGCACACACAAUUAUCCACAGUAUAUAAUAGUUGAU